rnacentral:tRNA from 1 species
UGGAGUAUAGCCAAGUGGUAAGGCAUCGGCCUUUGAAGCCGAUCAACAGAGGUUCGAAUCCUUUUACUCCAG